GCGCCGAUCGUAUAGUGGCAAUUACACGACGCUGUAAACGUCGCGGCCUUUGGCCUCCGGGGGUUCGAGUCCCUCUCGGCGCA
rnacentral:tRNA from 1 species